GCGAAAGUUACGAAAAAAGAAAAGAAAAUGAGGAUAAUGAGAUAGUUGCAGAGAUUGAAGCAAUUUGCUGCAAAUCCAAAUUUUGGUCCCACCAGAAAAAAACGAGAGGCGAUGAGCAGCCAAAUUGCUGAAGCUAACGGCAUAGACAAGCCACACGAUUCUCCUCUCACAUAUCUUAUACGUAUUGAGUAUUGGACAGAUGGCCAUACAAUAACUGAUAUCCACUGCUGUUUCCUGUGAUUUGUAUUCUCUUGUAAGAAAUGGGUUCAAACCCAUUAAUCUUUUUUUCUUUAGAUGAGAAGUUUGUAUAUGUUUUUAAUUCUUCACUCGCAGUAGUGAUUUAAUUUCAAGGAAUUUCCAUGAAGAAUUGGUAUUUAGCUUACCAAAUUGAACUGGGUCUCUUUUAGUUUGGCUUAGUUUUUAAUGUUGCUCUGUAAUUAUAUCAGUGCUACUUGCUUUCUCACAUUAUUAAAAAAAAAAGAAAAAAAUCAUUU
rnacentral:misc_RNA from 1 species